CUCCUUAUAUCUGCAGAGCACUCUUGCUUCAAACUCUUUCAUUUUAGCUCUAUCUACUCUGAGAUCCACUUUCAAAUUAUUCUUCAUUAGAAUAAAUUUAUAAAGAUUAGUGAUUCCACCUGCAAUUUGUAUCAUCAGCCAACUCUAUGACUAAAAAUGUUCAUUCAUUUAAUUUUGUUUUUCAGUUCACAAAAAGAAUUAUAUUAUUGCUAAAGAAAAUGACAUGUGCACACCAUGAACAUGGUAGGGAAAAGCCAGUUAUGAUGUGGCAAGAAUGCUAAUGCCUCUAUGAAGCAGUCUGGGUAUAGAGAACAGAUGCUUUCCAGAGCAGCCAUGGAGAAGAGAAGGGAGACUGGGGCAGAAACUGAAACUAUUACAACCAUCAAAACAGCAAUAAACUUCGGAAAUGUCAUGCCAAGAAGAGCCAAGGAAACACUAGA